UGUUUCACUGGUGAUGGAUCUCCACCUAACCAUUCUCUCAGGUUAAACCGCCCUAAAAGCUGAUGGUUCCUACUAAAAA
rnacentral:ncRNA from 2 species